GAUGAACGCUAGCGGCAGGCCUAACACAUGCAAGUCGAGGGGCAGCACGUCUUCGGAUGGUGGCGACCGGCGCACGGGUGCGUAACGCGUAUGCAACCUACCUCUUACAGUGGGAUAGCCCAGAGAAAUUUGGAUUAAUACCGCAUAGUAUACAGAUUCAGCAUUGGGACUGUAUUAAACAUUUAUGGGUAAGAGAUGGGCAUGCGUUCUAUUAGUUAGUUGGAGUGGUAACGGCACCCCAACGACAGCGAUAGAUAGGGGCCCGUGAGAGGGGGAGUCCCCCACACUGGUACUGAGACACGGACCAGACUCCUACGGGAGGCAGCAGUGAGGAAUAUUGGACAAUGGGCGAGAGCCUGAUCCAGCAUGCCGCGUGCAGGAAGACGGCCCUAU
rnacentral:rRNA from 1 species